rnacentral:pre_miRNA from 1 species
UUGCUACUCCCUCUGUCCGAAAAUACUUGUCAUCAAAAUGGAUAAAAAUAGAUGUAUCUAAAACUAAAAUACAUCUAGAUACAUUUCCUUUUAUCCAUUUUGAUGACAAGUAUUUCCGGACGGAGGGAGUAUUUG